rnacentral:lncRNA from 1 species
GAUUGGUAACAUUGUGGAAGACUCGAAGGCAUUUUUGUCAACAAUCACUGGAGCUACUGCUGCCGAUACACUUCGGCAGAAUAUGGAAGCUGCUUACCGUGUUGCUGCUAUGCUUUUUUUGUUGGAAAAUAUUAGUAUUUUGGUUUAUUUGAAUGUUUGGUUUAUGGGCUUAGCCCGUUAGAAUUAUGUUUUGUUAGAGAUUAGGGUUAGUUUAUUAUAAAUAGAGUGCUUUGUUAUUCAUUAGAGAAUAAGUUAUUCACAAUGUAGUUUCUUAGGUUUUUUUAUAGUCGUUCCGGCAUUCUCGUUUGUUUAAUAAUAUUUCUAUUAUUCUUGUUAGUCUUGUUUGUUGCGCACUUUGAUAUUCAACUUGGUAUCAGAGCAGGUUUGAUCAUUCGGGAUUUAAUCUGCUUCGGGUUGGUAUCUGUUUGCUCGUUUUCGUUGUCGUUCAUGUUCAGAUUGUUAGUUGGUAUUGAUUGUUUGCAAGAAGAAAAAAAUUGUUCGUUCGUUUUUUGUCCCGUGACUCUACUUCUGCACCUUUGAACGCCACAACUUGCAGGAGUAUCUGUAAGUCUGUAUUGCUGCAAAGGAAAAAAAAGGGAGUAAAAAAAAAAAAAAAGGAAGAAACAAGAAAAAAUUGGUUGCCUGUUUGAGGCCCAUGCGGGCAAAGGAAAAAAAAUUUGAUUGGAUUUUUUGUUUAGUUGUUCGGAAGUUGG